rnacentral:rRNA from 1 species
GCUUAACACAUGCAAGUCGAGGGGUAGCAUUUCAGUUUGCUUGCAAACUGGAGAUGGCGACCGGCGCACGGGUGAGUAACACGUAUCCAACCUGCCGAUAACUCGGGGAUAGCCUUUCGAAAGAAAGAUUAAUGCCCGAUGGUAUAAUCAGACCGCACGGUCUUGUUAUUAAAGAAUUUCGGUUAUCGAUGGGGAUGCGUUCCAUUAGGCAGUUGGUGAGGUAACGGCUCACCAAACCUUCGAUGGAUAGGGGUUCUGAGAGGAAGGUCCCCCACAUUGGAACUGAGACACGGUCCAAACUCCUACGGGAGGCAGCAGUGAGGAAUAUUGGUCAAUGGGCGCAGGCCUGAACCAGCCAAGUAGCGUGAAGGAUGACUGCCCUAUGGGUUGUAAAAUUCUUUUAUAUGGGAAUAAAGUUUUCCACGUGUGGAAUUUUGUAUGUACCAUAUGAAUAAGGAUCGGCUAACUCCGUGCCAGCAGCCGCGGUAAUACGGAGGAUCCGAGCGUUAUCCGGAUUUAUUGGGUUUAAAGGGAGCGUAGGUGGACAGUUAAGUCAGUUGUGAAAGUUUGCGGCUCAACCGUAAAAUUGCAGUUGAUACUGGCUGUCUUGAGUACAGUAGAGGUGGGCGGAAUUCGUGGUGUAGCGGUGAAAUGCUUAGAUAUCACGAAGAACUCCGAUUGCGAAGGCAGCUCACUGGACUGCAACUGACACUGAUGCUCGAAAGUGUGGGUAUCAAACAGGAUUAGAUACCCUGGUAGUCCACACAGUAAACGAUGAAUACUCGCUGUUUGCGAUAUACAGUAAGCGGCCAAGCGAAAGCAUUAAGUAUUCCACCUGGGGAGUACGCCGGCAACGGUGAAACUCAAAGGAAUUGACGGGGGCCCGCACAAGCGGAGGAACAUGUGGUUUAAUUCGAUGAUACGCGAGGAACCUUACCCGGGCUUAAAUUGCAUUUGAAUAUAUUGGAAACAGUAUAGCCGUAAGGCAAAUGUGAAGGUGCUGCAUGGUUGUCGUCAGCUCGUGCCGUGAGGUGUCGGCUUAAGUGCCAUAACGAGCGCAACCCUUAUCUUUAGUUACUAACAGGUCAUGCUGAGGACUCUAGAGAGACUGCCGUCGUAAGAUGUGAGGAAGGUGGGGAUGACGUCAAAUCAGCACGGCCCUUACGUCCGGGGCUACACACGUGUUACAAUGGGGGGUACAGAAGGCAGCUACCUGGUGACAGGAUGCUAAUCCCAAAAGCCUCUCUCAGUUCGGAUCGAAGUCUGCAACCCGACUUCGUGAAGCUGGAUUCGCUAGUAAUCGCGCAUCAGCCAUGGCGCGGUGAAUACGUUCCCGGGCCUUGUACACACCGCCCGUCAAGCCAUGAAAGCCGGGGGUACCUGAAGUACGUAACCGCAAGGAGCGUCCUAGGGUAAAACUGGUAAUUGGGGCU